rfam:Gossypium raimondii Chr13_contig_1305, whole genome shotgun sequence.
UGUUAAAAUUUUUUCAUUUGUAAUGUUAAAAACUGGCGUGACUAAUAGAAUAAUUAAUAAAUAACACGUGACAUGUCAAGUGUACCUCAUGCUGACGUAUAGGGACCAGUUUUUAACAGCAAAAAUAAAUAAAAUUUUUAAGA